rnacentral:lncRNA from 1 species
UUUUUUUUUUUGACAGAGUCUUGCUCUGUCGUCCAGGCUGGAGUGCAGUGGCGCGAUCUCGGCUCACUGCAAGCUCCGCCUUCCGGGUUCACGCCAUCCUCCUGCCUCAGCCUCCCGAGUAGCUGGGAUUACAGGCGCCCGCCACCACGCCCGGCUAAUUUUUUGUAUUUUUAGUAGAUACAGGGUUUCACCAUGUUAGCCAGGAUGGUCUCGAUCUCCUG